CUUCAGAUAUCUCUCUAUUUAAAGUUCAAAGCAACACUGGACAACAAUAAGGAAGAGGUAAGUGUGGCCCUUAUCAAGCCACUCAACAAAAAGAAUAAUGGCUGAAAAAGAGUACACAUUGUCACGUCUUGUCGUUCCUGUUCUUCUCCUGAUUGGUUGGAUUGUGGGCUGCAUCAUAGUGGUUUAUGUUGUCUUCUCUUAAAAAGGCAAGAAGACUUCGGAUUUACAUCAUUUAGAAGAAUUAAGAAAAACACAAACAUGACUGAAUAUUGAAUGUUUAUUGUGUUAAAUAAUGAAAUGUUUGACAUCACUGUAUAAGCUUGGAUUGCAAGCUGAUGCUUUCAUCUAUAUAAGACUCUUUUCAGGAUCUUAUUUAAAAUUAUGAGUAUAACAAUUACUAUAGGAAAAUAUGAGUGAACAUCUCUAUACCCACAGAGUAGGAAAAAUGUUCCUAAUUAUGAUUAAAAUGCAUAAGCAGCAGGAAAAAGUCUGAUAAAUGUAAUUAUAUUAGGAAACAUUUUGUUCUCUCUCCCAAGAAAAACUUACAGAAAAAUGGACUAGAGAGAAUAGACAAUUCACAGAAAACAAAAUGUAAAUGUAAACUUGGCUCUGAAUUUCAUGCAUGUAACAAGAUAAAUAUAAUUUGAACUACACUAAGAAACUUUUGCUCAGUUAUUAGGUGGACGAAAUAAAGAUAUUUGAAAACAUAUGUGUUAAUAAGACUGUGGAGAAAUGAGCACUUUCAUGCACUAUCUCUGCAAAUCCAAAAUAAAUUCAGAAUAUCACAACAUA